GACGAACGCUGGCGGCGUGCUUAACACAUGCAAGUCGAACGAAGUGGCGGACGGGUGAGUAACGCGUAAUCAACCUGCCCUUCAGAGGGGGACAACAGUUGGAAACGACUGCUAAUACCCCCUACUGCAGGAGGGGAUUGCGUAGUAUUAGCUGGUUGGGGGGGUAACGGCCCACCAAGGCGAUGAUCAGUAGCCGGUCUGGGAGGAUGAACGGCCACAGUGGGACUGAGACACGGCCCAGACUCCUACGGGAGGCAACAGUGGGGAAUCUUCCGCAAGGGACGAAAGUCUGGCGGGGCAACGCCGCGUGAGUGAUGACGGCCUUCGGGUUGUAAAGCUCUGUUAAGCGGGACGCGGUACCGGAAUAGAAAGCCACGGCUAACUACGUGCCAGCAGCCGCGGUAAUAC
rnacentral:rRNA from 1 species